ACUGAAGAAGGGGAUUAUCAGGUCAAACUACGCAACCUGAUACGUUUCCUUGAGAACGGGGACCGCGGCAAAAUCACUAUUCGCUUCCGUGGGCGUGAGAUGGCACACCAGGAAAUUGGUAUGAAACUCAUGUCCCGCAUCGAGACGGAUAUUGAAGAGCUGGCUACGGUAGAGAUGCGGCCGAAAAUGGAAGGCCGGCAGAUGACCAUGGUUGUGGCGCCCCGUAAGAAGAAGUGAUUCCGGAACAGUGACUCAUCCCCCGCAGUCGCGGGGGAUUUGUCGUUUCAGAAGCACAUGCGUUGUUUUCAAAAUAGAAUGCGGAGUUUUAAAAAAUGUCCAA
rnacentral:misc_RNA from 1 species